AUGUACCGUACAACAAAGUACUUCUUCAAGUACUGUGCAUCUUUCUUAAUUGUCAAGUCUUCCUUGUCGCGUUAACUUUUCUUUGUACUGUACGUGCGACUUUGUUGAGUAGCCUUUCCCUUUAACAUGUUUUGGUAUCAGAGCCAGGUGCAAUGUACUGUACCGUACAACAAAUAUCCAAGUUGUAUCUUCAAGUACUGUGCAUCUUUCUUAAUUUUCAAGUCUUCCACAUUGAAUUUUCAGAAUACAUAACGACGCAACUGUAGACGUGUUAACUUUGGUAGCUGAAUUGAAUUGUUUCAUUUUCGAAUACUCAUUGACAUAAGAUGAU